rnacentral:rRNA from 1 species
AUUGAACGCUGGCGGCAUGCCUUACACAUGCAAGUCGAACGGUAACGGGCCUUCGGGUGCCGACGAGUGGCGAACGGGUGAGUAAUACAUCGGAACGUGCCCGAUCGUGGGGGAUAACGCGGCGAAAGCUUUGCUAAUACCGCAUACGAUCUACGGAUGAAAGCAGGGGACCGCAAGGCCUUGCGCGGACGGAGCGGCCGAUGGCAGAUUAGGUAGUUGGUGGGAUAAAAGCUUACCAAGCCGACGAUCUGUAGCUGGUCUGAGAGGAGGAUCAGCCACACUGGGACUGAGACACGGCCCAGACUCCUACGGGAGGCAGCAGUGGGGAAUUUUGGACAAUGGGCGCAAGCCUGAUCCAGCCAUGCCGCGUGCAGGAUGAAGGCCUUCGGGUUGUAAACUGCUUUUGUACGGAACGAAAAGCCUUCUUUUAAUACAGGAGGGUCAUGACGGUACCGUAAGAAUAAGCACCGGCUAACUACGUG